UUUUCCAAACAGUACAUUUUAUUUGACAUUAGGCAACACAUUCCCAAAUUUAUCUCAGUUGUGGUAUGUAGAUGGCUUUAGAUUGCUUUUUGGUGGUCAUCCAUGCUGAGCAAGAUUUUUCAAUCUUCAAAACACUCAAAGCUCAAAGAUUCUGCAUUUCACAUCAGUUCACAAAUCGGAAGAGCAUAC